rnacentral:sRNA from 10 species
ACUCAACGCUAAUAAAUUAAAAAGAGUGAGUCUAGAUCCUAGAGCGUGCCUUUUUUAAGGAUUAUCGAAUAUUUAGUUAGCUCUAAACUUGUAUAAAUGGAGUUU